rnacentral:snRNA from 1 species
GUGCUUGCUUUGGCAGCACAUAUACUAAAACUGGAAUGAUACACAGAAGGUUAGCAUGGCCCCUGCGCAAGGAUGACAGGCAAAUUCAUGAAGCAUUCCAUAUUUUU